rnacentral:misc_RNA from 1 species
GAUGAAGAACGUAGCGAAAUGCGAUAAGUAAUGUGAAUUGCAGAAUUCAGUGAAUCAUCGAAUCUUUGAACGCACAUUGCGCCCGCCAGUAUUCUGGCGGGCAUGCCUGUUCGAGCGUCAUUUCAACCAUCAAGCCCCCGGCUUGUGUUGGGGACCUGCGGCUGCCGCAGGCCCUGAAAAGCAGUGGCGGGCUCGCUGUCACACCGAGCGUAGUAGCAUACAUCUCGCUCUGGGCGUGCUGCGGGUUCCGGCCGUUAAACCACCUUCAUAACCCAAGGUUGACCUCGGAUCAAGUAGGAAGACCCGCUGAACUUAAGCAUAUCAAUAAGCGGAGGA